rnacentral:rRNA from 1 species
CAGUAGCCGCGGUAAUACGAAGGGUGCAAGCGUUACUCGGAAUUACUGGGCGUAAAGCGUGCGUAGGUGGUUGUUUAAGUCUGCUGUGAAAGCCCUGGGCUCAACCUGGGAAUUGCAGUGGAUACUGGGCGACUAGAGUAAGGUAGAGGAUAGUGGAAUUUCCGGUGUAGCAGUGAAAUGCGUAGAGAUCGGAAGGAACAUCUGUGGCGAAGGCGACUAUCUGGGCCAUUACUGACACUGAGGCACGAAAGCGUGGGGAGCAAACAGGAUUAGAUACCCCGGUAGUCCCUGUCUCUUAUAC